UACGUAGGGUGCGAGCGUUAAUCGGAAUUACUGGGCGUAAAGCGUGCGCAGGCGGUUUUGUAAGCCAGAUGUGAAAGCCCCGGGCUUAACCUGGGAAUGGCAUUUGGGACUGCAAGGCUUGAGUGCGGCAGAGGAGACUGGAAUUCCUGGUGUAGCAGUGAGAUGCGUAGAUAUCAGGAGGAAUACCGAUGGCGAAGGCAGGUCUCUGGGCUGACACUGACGCUCAUGCACGAAAGCGUGGGGAGCAAACAGG
rnacentral:rRNA from 1 species